GCCGACGUAGCUCAGCUGGUAGAGCAGCUCACUCGUAAUGAGCAGGUCAGCGGUUCGAGUCCGCUCGUCGGCU
rnacentral:tRNA from 7 species